UUCCCACACAAUCACAAAAAGGAAAGAAAGAAAGAAAAAGCUUGGCAAAGCAAUAUUUUGUAUUCAUUUCAGGAACUCUCAACCUGAUCGAGAAAAAUGAUGGAACAUCUUCUCGUCUUCAGGUGCCCAAGACGUAUUUAGUCCCUGAGAAUCGUCCUAAGAGAGGCAUUUUCCGGUUAGCCUGCAGCUUCAAGAAGACCCGGCACAGGCGAGAGGCUGGCAGAGCUGAAAGCUCAGAGGAUGACAUCGGACUUGCCGGGGCGCGUAGAGGACAGUGCUGGGCUGCUGAGUGAACACAAACAAUGGAGCUUACCCAAGAAGAAUGUUGAAAGUUGCCCUUGGUUGUUUCACCCAAGUUCAUCCGGCUGUUGAGAAGUGGCAGAGGAAAUAUGUCAGCCAGUGGUGUUGACAAAUGUUAGUUUACGGAGAGUUCGGCCAAGUUCAGAGGAUAUUUGACACACAUGGCUUGCCACCCGCUUCUCAGGACCGGGAAAAAGGAACCACAAAUAUCUCAUCAUGUCCCUAUGCCUUGGUCUCCUCGUCUGUAAAAGAGAGUGACAAAGAACUAGCUCACCAUGUUUGAGGAUGCAGCAAGCUGGUAGAUUGGCCUUUGGGUUUCCUUGUUUCAGGACUCUUUGGGCCACAGGAUUGAAAGCAGGAGUUCUUCAAGAUCGUUCUCUCUCCCUUUCUGGCCUGGCAUUAGAGAAGAUUGUGCUAAUGGAGGAAGGAGGCAGCCGGGGGAGGCUGGGGAGCAGAAGGUGAGAGAAGGGGAGGGGGUGGAAAGCAGGCUGGAGAGGUUCUCUCAGACCUGAACGGUCCAGGUCCUUACUCCCUUCCCUCCCAGGGCCCCAGGGAGGAGGGAGAGCUUCCCUGGGCCCAUGGACCCCCAUCUUCUGCAGAGGCCACGGCCCAGGAGCAGGUGAGCGGCUGGCCUGUCAGGACCUUGGGCUGUGAGAACAUCAAUACCCAGAGGCCCUUCCAUGGCCUCCAGGUGAGUGGUGCCACCGUGCUUCCAGGAUGAGCCUCGCUCACUUCUGACCAAAUGGGUGACUUUCUCCACCAGCCUGGUGAACUGGACGCUCCUAAUCAGAAUUAAUUUGUUUUCAGAAAAAAAUCACGUGGUGUUUCUUUCGUGCCCAUGUUUGUGGAAUAAAACCCAUCGCCUGCUCCAUACAGAACACUAUCUGAUAAAUGCCCUCUGACAAAAACGCUAGGUAAAUAGCCACACCUGGACGAGACAUAUCCUGAAAGAACCAGUAGGAGUCAGGAAAUCUCAGUCCUGUUUUUGCCUCUGGCGCUAACUAGCUCCGUGACCUUAAGUCAGUCACUUCCCCGAUCUGUGCUUCCAUUUAUUUAUUGGCUGAAUAAAGAGAACUGGCCUCAAUUCCUGGUCCGUGUUACUGCAAAUUUAGAAUGGAUUUGGGAAACAUGGAAUAGUCACGAAACCGUAUUCUUAACCGAAGAUAUAGUUUAGAAACUGUUCCAGGACUGCUAAUCUCCUCUUCAAAAAGAAUUGACUUUUCGGAAAAGCAGAGUUUCUGCAACGACAGAAGACAGCCCGAAAAAAUGUGACAUUAUGUCUGUUACCUGCUUAAGCCACACUUGUUCAUGCACUUGUGGUCUCUCUGUCGGGAUUUUGGUCUUCAUGGUAAUGUGUACCUCUCGAGAUUUUCAUUCUAAAAAGAAAAGCGCCUUUGAAAAAAACCCAUCCUUCCAUAACGGGCUCAUCUUUCACUGGGGCUGGAGCAGUGUAAACACAACCGCAGGAGGCUCCGUGUUUAUGUUUUCCCAAUGACUUCCAGAUCAAAUUUGCUGUGUUUACAAGAUGGAGACACUUUUUCUAACCGCCAGCAUUGCAGAUUCAAAGUGGGGGGAGGAGGGGGCAGUGGGGACGCCCCAGCUGGGCUCUCUCUGCUUCCAGUUACGUUGCAUCUCUGGCAGUGACUCCGUGGUGCCCCAGCAGGAUGAGCGCCUAGCUCAGCAGCCCACUGUAGACACUGACUUUUCAUACUUAAAUCGAAUCAAGAUGCCAGGUUAUUAUGAUGAUGAUUUUAAACUUUAAGCCUCAGGCCUAGAGGUAGGAUCCUGACUACAGAGAGAAUCUUUUUUUUCCAUGCUUGGCAAUUGUUUUACUGUUCCCUAUGCCUCCCUCAGUUCUUGCCUCAUCCAGACUCUGUGAAUCUCAUUUUGAAGUUUCUCUUAAUUCCCUUGAAUCGUGAACAGUGUUAACCAGAAGCCCCUAGGGGAGCAUGAAAUUUGCAGGUCAUCUCUUAAGGUACCUGUUAGUAUUCAGACAUGAAGCCCUUGAAUCUUUUACCUUGAAAAAAUAUAUCCCUUUAAAACAACCAUUUCACUUAAAUGCCCUUAUGUCAGAUGCUUAAUGCUUAUUUUGACCAUGGAGCUGGCACCCCAACUGGCUGUCACAAUGUCCUUGCAGGGAUUUGUCAGUGGGCAGUGGGAGGCAUUGGUUCGUCCAUCAGUGUCUUCCAUUCUUUCAUGGGGAGGAGAGCGGAAUUGCCUUCAGGAGCCUGAGUCGCAUCAGGAGCUGAUCCACCAGCAGCACUGCCCGGCUGUGUGACUUUGGCCGAGCUUGACUCUCUGAGGCCCAGUUUCCUCUUCUGCUUUGGGGAUAAGCUGCCGUUCCAUGGGAGAUGCCAGGCAUGAAAGGACCUUAUACUUAGUAAAACACCAUGGAAGUGAGAAGUUCUGUGACCAUCAGGCUCAAGAUUCCUGGGAAGGUGGCUAAUGGGGGUCAGGGAUGCUCUCUGUUGCUAUGCAACUGGGGAUGUUUGUAAAAACAAGUUAAAAAUUUUUGUUUAAAUCAUUAACAUCCCUGAAACUCAGACCUGAGGUGUCCAGUGUCUCUCCAGCACUCGCUUACCUUUCCUUGGACUCUGCCAUUACCGUGGCAAACACGUCCCUCACUGGGAUUCCGGUUGUCCCCCUGUCAACGGGAGGGUUGGACUUGCUGGGGUCUAAGGAGCCUUUCAGCUCCAAUGGGCCGCCCUUUUGCUCCGUGCUUCUCAGGCUGGUGUGUAGGAAGACGUGACGGAGUUAGAGGGGAGAAAAGGAGAGUCUCCGCUCAUACUUCUACUGAAAGCUUUUUUGGAAAUAAAUAAGCAAAUGCAAACUUUAUUACCAGGAAACUCAGAUCUGAACCGAUUUUAAUGAGCGCUCUUAUUCGAUGUUUUAAUUUCAAAUACGUGUUCUUUGACUGUCCCCAUCUCACUCACAGACCACGCACACGUACAGGUGGGCAUGCAUCAUACAUACACACCUAUUUCUACUCUCUCCCUCCCUCCCUCCUUUCUUUCUUUCUUCCUGAUUUGAUUGUAAGUGUCUUAUUGUAUGCUAUUUAAAAUUUUUUUGAAAUUGAGUAAGUAAGAAUAUUAUUUUUUUAAAAGCAAAAAAAAAAGAUGAUUUAUAAAGGAAGUGGGCUGUGCUCUUUUGUAUUUUCAGUUCUGUAAUUUUGUUGCUGCAACUCACGAUGCAAGUUCUCCGCUGGCUGGUAAUCAAAUAAAGCCUUCACCUGGGUCUGGA